rnacentral:tRNA from 1 species
UUGCUCAGUAGUUCAGUGGUAGAAUAUCCGACUGUUAAUCGGCAGGUCGCUGGUUCGAAUCCAGCCUGAGCAGUCCA